AGUAUGGGGGGCGGAUAGGGACAUCGAGAACCUGCCUAGGGAGACUGUCGUGUGACGUCUACUUCUGGAUAAGUUGCAUACCUCGUCGCAACUACUUUUGGAUAAAUCAUCUAUGAUGUCCCAAAGGCCCAACUCCUUCUCAGGUCACCUUCUGGCAGCAACCAUGCAGCUGGAUUUCACUGUGCAACCAGGCCUACCCAAGCUGCUGCUGCUGGGCCCAGGGUUGAUUGUAAUGGCACACUGGGACUUGCAGAUGACCUGAAAUACAUAUUUUUCUUUCUGCUGUGUAAGAUGUAGGCCUACUGCUUUUAACUUGAGUUGAAUGCUAUUAAACACUGCCAUGGUCAGCAAACAC